UAAAUUCAUCUUAUGUAUUAAUUCAUCUUAUGUAUUUGUUAAUCAAACCGGUUUUGUAAGCCUUGCACAGUGUGUUCGCUUUUGCAAGGCAGCGUUAGCUCCUGCAAACAGGUGCAGUUGGAAACUUUGUAACUAGAAUGUCUGGCUGCUCUGGA